ACCCGUUACCCGGGUUGCGGACAGUGUCUGGUGGGUAGUUUGACUGGGGCGGUCUCCUCCUAAAGAGUAACGGAGGAGCACGAAGGUUGGCUAAUCCUGGUCGGACAUCAGGAGGUUAGUGCAAUGGCAUAAGCCAGCUUGACUGCGAGCGUGACGGCGCGAGCAGGUGCGAAAGCAGGUCAUAGUGAUCCGGUGGUUCUGAAUGGAAGGGCCAUCGCUCAACGGAUAAAAGGUACUCCGGGGAUAACAGGCUGAUACCGCCCAAGAGUUCAUAUCGACGGCGGUGUUUGGCACCUCGAUGUCGGCUCAUCACAUCCUGGGGCUGAAGUAGGUCCCAAGGGUAUGGCUGUUCGCCAUUUAAAGUGGUACGCGAGCUGGGUUUAGAACGUCGUGAGACAGUUCGGUCCCUAUCUGCCGUGGGCGCUGGAGAACUGAGGGGGGCUGCUCCUAGUACGAGAGGACCGGAGUGGACGCAUCACUGGUGUUCGGGUUGUCAUGCCAAUGGCACUGCCCGGUAGCUAAAUGCGGAAGAGAUAAGUGCUGAAAG
rnacentral:rRNA from 1 species